CUGGCCUUCCAAGUUUUAAAAAUGGUUCUUAAGUAUUUUAACUGGUUUUAAAUGGUUUUGAAUUGUUUUUAAAUUGUUUUAUAUUGUUUUAAGCAGUGUAUUUUAAAUGCUGUUUGUUUGUAUCUCUAUAUAUAAUUCUCCUGGGUAUGCCUUGGAAUGUGCGUCCCAGAGCCCAGCUGACUGGCUGGGUGGUGGACGCGCCUGAUUGGCUGAGGUGCACCCAGGAGGAUUGGUUGCCGCCGCCACGGCCUGGAUGUGGAGGCCAAAGGUGGCAGGCCUGGCCCAGCAACGGAGGCAAGGCCCAGGAGGGGGGAAAGAAAGGGGGGGGCAGAAGUGGCAGUGAGGAGGAGAGGAGGCUGGGCCUGGAAGCAGAGACUGGAGCAGAAGUGGGGGAAGAGCUGCUACGCACCUACCAGCAGAAGCACACAUGGGCACAAGGAAAGUACUUUUCUGUUUCCUUCAAUCAAGCACAUAGCAGCUUCAGAGAGGCAACUUUGAUCAAGAACAGCAAAGAAGCCUGUGUUAGUAUACAAUGAGGAGACCUCUGUAGCAGAGAAUGAAAAUUGGCACUGCUAGGAAGCCAUGUUGGUUGCUCUGAGAAAGUGGAUUUAAGAGGCUGCUAGGUUCAUGUUCUGUCAGAGUAUGCCGUAUAACUUGGCAUUUAUGGAUCCAAGUCCUUAAAAGUGAUUGGCUAUCUUGGUCAAUAAUCUAGUAAAUACUAUUGGUCAGUAGCUUCAGGAUCCUGAAGAUUCCAAGGACAUGUUAUAGAAAUCCAAGUGCAGAAGCCUGAGAGGGGAAGUUCACAUGGGAUUUAUCCAAGAGAUGGCGACAAGAAAAAGCACGAGGAAGAAGGCUGAGAAGGUAGAAACAAGGGACUGAAGAAGAGGCCAGAUUGAAGAUAGGGGUUGGUCAGAGGGCUUCAAAUAUUUAUUGUGAAGCCAGUAGAUUUUCCAAAUAAGAGAGGACUUCCACAUCAUGCCAUAGUAAAAACAAGUUGUUCUAGUAAGAACUAAUCUGCCUACUUUCCUUUCACUCUCUCUACAACUGGACCAAAUUUGGUACAAAUCAAAGUCCACAAGUUAGUUCUCUUGAGCCUCAAAUGUUUAUACAUCUGCGAUCUUGAAUCAGGGUGGAUGACAUCACAAACUAUGCCACUGAGGUGUCCCUGUGUGUAACUCACUACAACUGUACCUAAUGUGGUUCAAAUCAGUUAGACUGUCCACAAGUUAGCCCACUUGUGCCUCAAAAAUUCAUGUGUCCGCCAUCUGGGAGCGGGGUAGAUUACAUCACAAACUAUGCCAUUGAGGUUUCCCCUUGUGCACCUACAGCUGUAGCAAAUUUGGUUCAAAUCUGUUAGGUGGUUCACAAGUUAGCCCACUUGUACCACAAAUGUUUUAUGUUUCUGCCAUCUUGAAUCGGGGAGGAUGACAUCAUAAAACUACGUAGCUGAGGUAUCCCUAAGUGUCCCUACAGCUCUAGCAAAUUUGGUUCAAAUCAGUUAGGUAAUUCACAAGUUAGCCCAAGUGUGCCUCAAAAGUUUACGCAUCUGCCAUCUUGAUCGGUGUGGAUGACAUAAUCACAAACUAUGCCAUUGAAGUGUUCCUUUAUGUCACUCACUAUAACUGUACCGAAUUUGGUUCAAAUUGGUUAGAUAGUUCAAGUUAGUCCACUUGCACCUCAAACAUUCAUGAGUCCGCCAUCUUGGAUUGGGGUAGAUGACAUCACUAGCUUUUUACACAGGCCUUGAUAUGAUUACAUCUACUGCUGCUUCUUUGUAUUUUGUAUGUUUGUCUUAUGCUUGCAUUUUAAAUCUUUUUAGUCCGAUUUAUGUUUUUAUAUUUUAGCUUAAUAUUUUAAUUGUGUAAUUUUUAUAGUUUUUGUUUAAUUUGUGUGUGAAUGGCCUUGGGAUUGUUUUAAUGAAAGGCAGUAUACAAACUUAAUCAAUAAAUCACAAACUAUGCCAUUGAGGUUUCCCCAUGUGCCCCUACAGCUGUAGCAAAUUUGGUUCAAAUCAGUUAGGCAGUUCACAAGUUAGCCCACUUGAACCUCAAAAGUUUGCACAUCUGCCAUCUUGAAUCAGGGUGGAUGACAUCAUCACAAACUACACCAUUGAGGUGUCCCUUCAACUGUAUCUGAUGUGGUUCAUAUUGGUCCAGGCACUGCGAAGUUGAUGGUGGGGGGACAGACACAUGGAAUGCCAGGUGAUCUCAUAAGCCUACUGGAAAGUAGGCUAUAGUAACUAUCAAAGCUGAACCCUAGUACAGAAGUUCCCAUUGUCAUAGUUUGUACUGAUACAAUUCAUUGCUAUUGUACUGCAUACCAGCCAACCUAAUUUACUCUUUAAAAUGAUCAGAUUAACAUUUUAAUCUAAACCUUACUAUCAUGAUCGAUCCAGCAAUCACUUUACAUGCAUUACUUCAACACAGUAAUACAAAGUACAGUUUAAUUUUAAAAAUCCUAGAAGCCUACUCAAACGAACAAGGACACAUCAUCUUAAUUGGUCAGAGGCACUACUGCAGGAAUAAACAAAUACCUACAUCAGCAAGAUCUCAUUAUCUUGAUGAGACACGUCGUCCUUUUACCCACAUAUUAAAAAGAAGCCAUGAUCAAAAAUAUUUAAAAUAAUGUAGCUUAACACUCAAAUAUAAAUCUGAGUUAGGACACUACUAGCAAGUAGGGAUGUGCAUGAAUCAAUUUUUUCGAUUUGAUUUGUACCCAAAUCAAAUCACACCCUAUUUGUUUUGGGUCUGAAUCUGGCCAGCUAGCACAGGGGCGAUUUGAGAAGAGAACUGGUCUUGUGGUAGCAAGCAUGACUUGUCCCCAUAGCUAAGCAGGGUCUGCCCUGCUUGCAUAUGAAUGGGAGACUUGAUGUGUGAGCACUGCAAAAUAUUCCCCUCAGGGGAUGAAGCCGCUCUGGGAAGAGCAGAAGGUUCCAAGUUCCCUCCCUGGCUUCUCCAAGAUAGGGCUGAGAGAGAUUCCUGCCUGCAACCUUGGAGAAGCUGCUGCCAGUCUGUGAAGACAAUACUGAGCUAGAUAGACCAAUGGUCUGACUCAGUAUAUGGCAGUUUCCUAUGUUCCUAUGUUUCGUCCACAAAUCUCCCAAAACAAAUCAUUUUGUACCCAAAUUGAUUUGCACAGACAGCAGGCGCAGGCAGUGAUUCUCUCAGCAGCAGGAAGGGGAUGAAAAAAGAUCUCUCCUCUUUUCCUCAAUCAGGAAAGCAGGAACAAAAAGCAGAGAAUCCACUCCAGGCAGCAGGCAGGCAAGGCAAGACAAAGCUCCUCUGGCUCUCUCUCGCUCUCUUCUCCCACGAGGCAGAAAGGUGGCUAGCUACCUCCUUAAGUACAUUUGAAAAUCCAUCUUUCAAACUCCCCCCACCCUUGUCCCUUCUUUGACCCUUCCCCUAGCCAAUAAGGGAUCAGUCACUCCUGGCAAUACAAUAUUUGAAUGGAAACAUGCCAAUCUGGAACCAGGGGGAAAUCGCCAGCCAAUCGUUGCACACUGUAAGUCACAAAUCUGAAACAUGGGAGGGAGGAAUUUUCAAACAAGUUUCCUGACACAAAAUGGAGACAGCAAGAGGGUUCGCAACAAAAUGGAGGUCUGCAUUUACAAAUUUUCCAGGUCCAAAAUCUGAGCGAUUUGUUUUGGACCCAAAUCGAUUCAUACAUCCCUACUAGCAAGUAACAGACUGCGUAGGGAGCAUGGGGAGAUGACUGUUCCCCUGCUGCCAAGGCCUGGUUGGGGGGGCCAAGGCACCCUCCUCUAGGGGUGUGCAUGGAACCGCAGAGCUGCGGUCCGGCACUGUGGAGUGGGUUCCUUUAAGGGUGGGGAGGGUUUACUUACCCCUCCCGCCGCUUUGCCCCCUCCAGCGCGCAUAUUUACUGUAAUAAUUGGGGCGGCAGGAUACCUCCCUGCCGCCCCUUGUCCCUCUGAAUGCCGCCUCCAGGACGGGGUGGGCACGCGCGGGGCUCUGAGAAGGAAAUAUCCUGAGGACUCACGUUUUUAAAGUUAGCUCCCGAUGGCAUCAUGGCAGUGGUAAACAAACCCCAAUGAGAAGCUGGCACAGCACCGAGCCGGCCUCCGGCGCCUCCCCGCUUGGCGGCUCCCCCAUCCUGAGCCACCGCCAGCAGCCAAUGCGAAGAGCUCCGCAAGAGAGAACGCGCCGACGUGCCCAGCGCACUCUCACUUCCGGCUCCCAAGCGACUUCCCCCACACACACACAGUGUGGCUGCCUGCUUCUCCUCCUCCCAUCGGGCCACGCUGUGUGUGGGGCAAUGGCCCCGCCCCUUCAUGUCUGACAUCAGACACAAAGGUCUUGGCUCUGUGCAUACAAUUGUGAAGUCUCGGGGGCGGGGGAGCCGCCAGAGGACUUUGUGCUCCAGCCGCAGCUAAGCUCCUGACACCCCUGACACAUACUCUAAUUUAUCUACCAAUACUAAACUCAGACAAGCUCAAGAUGCCACACACUGUAUUGUUUAAGCUCAAAUAGUCUAUUUGUGCUGUUCAUUAAUUGUCUAUGAUUUGGUACCUGAAAAUUGGCCUCCAAAUGUAAUGACUUCAUUUCAUGAGCAUACUUAUAACCAAAUAUUUGUCAAUCUAAGCACAGCACAAAUCAAGUAAUUAAGAUGUUACAUGUCUUCUAUUUGCCCUCGUAACUAUCAGUAAGGAUUGUACAUAAGUGACAUUACUUACAGCUAAGACAGGAAAACAGGAUCUCUCAUUUUCAUCAAUUUACACAUUUGUAACUAAAUACAAUGAAUGAUAAUUAUAUUUAUGAAAUAUUUAAAAAAGAAUAGCAUAGCAUUUGGUCUGUAAAAGAAACUACCACCAAACACUUGAUACCAGAAGCACAAGAACUGUUAAUAGAUAAAUGUUCACUGAGACAACAGGAAAGAAAAACACAUUAGUAGGUAUUUCUUGUUACAUUCAAGGGAUAGCAUACAAACCAAUUGGCAGAGUGGCAUGCUACUGAUGGAAGCUCCUUCGAUAAACAGAAGAGGAGCUGCAUUCAUGCAACAGGUCUCCACAACCAGGAGUCCUAGCAUGAUCAUAACACUCCUUACAAUCAGAGAGGAGCUCCCAUCAACAUCACACUGAUGUGCCAAAGAUUUAGAUGCCAUGCAAGUAGUUUUCACAUUUUAGACAAUUUUCUAAUACUAUUCUAAAGCGCAGAAUCAAAACCUUGAUAUACUCACCUGAUUUUCUUGCCUUCAUAGCAAGAACAGCUACCAAUUCUCUCUGCACCUAACAGACCAAAGAAGGGAAAAUGUUACAGCUGUCAUAAUAAUGGGAAGUAGUUAUAGACACAUACUGCCUUUUAUUAUUAUUAAUUGAGGGGUCCACAAAUUAAUUACAAAGGAAACUUCAAGAAGAAACCACCAGCCUUCUUUGGGCUCCAAGAACAAUUGCUACCUUUUUUUAUCCAGGCUUUUGGCCAAUGAGUAGCCCUCAGAUCAGAUCUCCUUUUAGUGGUCAUAGCUGUGUAUUAUUUUGAUAAUGUUUUAAUUCAAACUUAUGUUUGUAACUUGUUGUUUACCACCUUAGAGGUCUUAGGAUGAAGCACGGUAUAGAAAUGUACAUAAUAAAUAUUAUGAGUCUGGGGCUCCUGAUUCCAUGACCAGACUAAUUAUUCUUAUGUCCAAAUGGAAUUCUGCCUAAGGGAAAUUCUGGCCUCAUUCAAGCAUUGUAUUUCUGGUCCUUCAGCCAUGGUUUAGAGCAUCAUAAAUGAGCUACAGACCUACAUGCUUCUUCAUUCUAUUCCCUCCUCCCUCAUGGCUCAAACCAUUGUUUGCCGUGAACUGCAAAAUGUGGUUUGAGCAAUCCCUUCAAAACAGAAUCAAAGCAUUUGGAUCAAAUUAUAGGUUAUAAUAAUGCUUGAGGAAUCCUUCUGUUAAAUUGGGGGGGGGGAGACAAGGACAAAGUGCUCAAGCUAGUUGCUUGUUCCUGAUCUGAAUGCAGCUGUUAUAUUCAUUUAAAAAAAAUCUCCUUGUUUCAACACAAUUACGAUUAAUGGUAUAAAUACAACUGCCAUACUGACAUAAACUAACAUGGCUAUACAUGUUUGGGGAGGGGCUGAGCAUUUUGCAAAUGUAUUGUCUUACAUAUUAAAUUUAGUUCCGGAAA